GACCGAUGUAAGCUACGUCCAGACGCCAUUUCAUGCUCGCUAGUUUGUUUUCAAGGUGAUUGUAUCAUCCGCCAGCACAAUCCUUUAUGGAGCGUAAUCUACCCCGCUAAACCGACGUUGAAUGUUAUGCAUUUUUAUUAAUAAGCUCCUGUUUUUGAGGCACAGAAUUUUUUUGUACAGCGUCAAACCACUCAGAAAGAUC